GACACGGUUCUAUCAACCCAGACAGGAGGACCUUGAGUUACUGCGGACUGCACAGAGUCAGUUGUCUGGCUGUAGCUACCGCAGUUCUAAUGGGGGGCUUGGCCCCGGUCCAAAAAACCUUUCGUAUUAGCUCAUUGUUAAGAUUCUAGGUCUUUACCAAGUCGCAGAGACUGUAACAGUCUGUUAAACACAGCCUUGGAGAGACACAAGGCUGCUUUUAUUUUUAGUCAUCCUAAAUGCUGUUGCUCAGCACGACUUCAUUGCAGUAAUUUUUUUAACUUCAGCGAGCGCUCUUCUAGCUGGCAAGUUCACCAGCAAUAGAGACUAGUGGAACGGGACGAUCUCGGUUCCAAACUGCUCCGACGACGAGACACCGCAGUAAAAAAAAAAAAAAAAAAAAAAGCUCCGUUUGCUGAGGAUCAUGGUAUGGGCUUAACGGCUGGAUUGUAAUCAACAGUCAAUGGAGGUGUCCCUGAGAGACGACUGCAGGAUCACUCGGGCCGCCGGAUCCAAUGGGAACUCUUGUGGAACUCCCAGUUCCUUCACUUUGGCCUGGGAGACGCACGCUCUCACUGCAAAGAUCAAAUGGAAAAGAGGAAGUCGACAUACUUUUAUUUCUGUAAUCGAGUAUAUCCUUUUGUUUGGUGUGUUUUGUUUAGUUUUUAGUUUUUUUUUUUUUGGGGGGGGGGGGGGGGGGGGGGGCUUAGGGUUAGAUAAGAUCAUGACAUGACUGGGGAAGUGUUCCUGUCUGUGUGAUGAUCAUUCUUGUUAACAUGUUAGAAUACAUAUGGGACUCUAA